UGGGGAAUAUUGCGCAAUGGGGGAAACCCUGACGCAGCGACGCCGCGUGUGGGAUGAAGGUCUUCGGAUUGUAAACCACUGUCGCGAGGGACGAAGCUCUGACGGUACCUCGAAAGGAAGCACCGGCUAACUCUGUGCCAGCAGCCGCGGUAAUACAGAGGGUGCGAGCGUUGUCCGGAAUCACUGGGCGUAAAGGGCGCGUAGGCGGCCCGGUAAGUAGGGGGUGAAAUCUCAUGGCUCAACUGUGAGGCUGCCUUCUAGACUGCCAGGCUUGAGCACAGUAGAGGCGAGUGGAAUUCCCGGUGUAGCGGUGGAAUGCGUAGAGAUCGGGAAGACAUCGGUGGCGAAGGCGGCUCGCUGGGCUGUUGCUGACGCUGAGGCGCGAAAGCGUGGGGAGCAAACAGGAUUAGAUACCCCUGUAGUCCCUGAGCGGGCUGGCAAGGCGCAU
rnacentral:rRNA from 1 species